UGGGGAAUAUUGGACAAUGGGCGAAAGCCUGAUCCGGCCAUGCCGCGUGUGUGAAGAAGGUCUUCGGAUUGUAAAGCACUUUAAGUUGGGAGGAAGGGUUGUAGAUUAAUACUCUGCAAUUUUGACGUUACCGACAGAAUAAGCACCGGCUAACUCUGUGCCAGCAGCCGCGGUAAUACAGAGGGUGCAAGCGUUAAUCGGAAUUACUGGGCGUAAAGCGCGCGUAGGUGGUUUGUUAAGUUGGAUGUGAAAUCCCCGGGCUCAACCUGGGAACUGCAUUCAAAACUGACUGACUAGAGUAUGGUAGAGGGUGGUGGAAUUUCCUGUGUAGCGGUGAAAUGCGUAGAUAUAGGAAGGAACACCAGUGGCGAAGGCGACCACCUGGACUAAUACUGACACUGAGGUGCGAAAGCGUGGGGAGCAAACAGGAUUAGAUACCCUGGUAGUCCACGCCGUAAACGAUGUCAACUAGCCGUUGGAAGCCUUGAGCUUUUAGUGGCGCAGCUAACGCAUUAAGUUGACCGCCUGGGGAGUACGGCCGCAAGGUUA
rnacentral:rRNA from 1 species